AUUGUCUACCCUCAGACAGAUUUACUUUAGAUUUGUUAGUUAUGUCCAGUUUUAAGUGCAAAACUGACCGGUUUAACUCUGUUGUCUAGUAUGAAUUAAAUGAGUUUUAAUUACUCUAUCGCUCGUCAUUUCAACAGAACCGAUAUUUCACGAUAUAUUCAGCGCGAUCGCUUAAGUAUCGAAUUGACAGGCCACAUCAAAACCAGACCAUUGUAAAAUUUUACACAAUUCCGUUUAACUGAGGGGGAAAAUGUGUACUUUUUCUUGAAACUGCACUCCAAUCGCGUGAAGAUUAUUCCACAACAAGAUGUAGUUGAUAUCUUGUAAAUUCUUAGAUUUUUUGUUCAUUUUUUAAGCUCCUUUGAUGUGAUUUCAACAUGAAUUCCUGUGGUCAAACCCAGCAAAGUGCCAGUUUCUUGACUGUCGGGUAUAAGGGUAUUGAUUACAUCUCUGAGGCCUCAGUCAGACACAGAAUGAUGAUUGGCUUGUUAGAACUUCCAGUUCCGUUCCAGCUGGUCAGUAACAUCUACCCACACAAUGGACACCUGCAGGACAACGCUUAUAGAGUACCAUGGAAGAACAAAACAUCAGUUUGUACUCUACAAGUGACUGGGUCUGUAAUGGAUGAUUUGAAGGCCAGCACACGUUUCAGUGACUGUUUGGAGAGGUUUAAUGUGUUGCAGACAGGAAGAGGUCAAGAGGAAGUGGUUCCCAGCUCUAACCCUGCCUCUCAGUGCAGUAUUUCUACCACAGAAGCCCUCUGGCUCCUAGAUGGAGUUGAGAGCAGUACCACCAG
rnacentral:lncRNA from 1 species